CACGUAGGCACCAAGCGUUGUCCGGAUUUAUUGGGCGUAAAGAGCUCGUAGGCGGUUCGGUAAGUCGGGUGUGAAAACUCUGGGCUCAACCCAGAGCCGCCACCCGAUACUGCUGUGACUCGAGUGCGGUAGGGGAGCGGGGAAUUCCUGGUGUAGCGGUGAAAUGCGCAGAUAUCAGGAGGAACACCAGUGGCGAAGGCGGGUCUCUGGGCCAAUACUGACGCUGAGGAGCGAAAGCGUGGGGAGCGAACAGG
rnacentral:rRNA from 1 species